UACGUAGGGUGCGAGCGUUGUCCGGAAUUAUUGGGCGUAAAGGGCUCGUAGCGGUUUGUCGCGUCGGGAGUGAAAAUCCAGGGCUUACUCUGGACUGGCUUCCGAUACGGGCAGACUAGAGGUAUGCAGGGGAGAACGGAAUUCCUGGUGUAGCGGUGAAAUGCGCAGAUAUCAGGAGGAACACCGGUGGCGAAGGCGGUUCUCUGGGCCUUACCUGACGCUGAGGAGCGAAAGCGUGGGGAGCAACAGG
rnacentral:rRNA from 1 species